AGAGUUUGAUCCUGGCUCAGAACGAACGCUGGCGGCGUACUUAACACAUGCAAGUCGGACGAGAAAGGGGGCUUCGGCCCCUGAGUACAGUGGCGCACGGGUGCGUAACACGUAAGUAAUCUACCCUGGACUCCGGGAUAACUCCCCGAAAGGGGGGCUAAGACUGGAUAGGGUCCUCGAGGUGCGAGCCGCGGGGGAAAAGCAGGCCUCUCGACGAUGCUUGCGGUCUAGGAUGAGCUUGCGGCCCAUUAGCUAGUUGGUAGGGUAAGAGCCUACCAAGGCGACGAUGGGUAGCUGGUCUGAGAGGACGAUCAGCCACACUGGCACUGAGAUACGGGCCAGACUCCUACGGGAGGCAGCAGUGGGGAAUUUUGCGCAAUGGGCGAAAGCCUGACGCAGUAACGCCGCGUGGAGGAUGAAGGCCUUCGGGUUGUAAACUCCUGUCAGAGGGAACGAGGUGGUCCGGGGCGAAGACCUCCGGACUGCAGACGGUACCUUCAAAGGAAGCCCCGGCUAAUUCCGUGCCAGCAGCCGCGGUAAUACGGAAGGGGCGAGCGUUGUUCGGAAUCAUUGGGCGUAAAGGGCGCGUAGGUGGUUGGGCAUGUCCGCUGUGAAAGUACACAGCUCAACUGUGUUCCGUCGGUGGAAACUGCUCAACUUGAGGCUGGAAGGGGCUGGUGGAAUUCCCUGUGUAGCGGUGAAAUGCGUAGAGAUGGGGGAGAACACUCGUGGCGAAGGCGGCCAGCUGGACCAGUCCUGACACUGAGGCGCGACAGCGUGGGGAGCAAACAGGAUUAGAUACCCCAGUAGUCC
rnacentral:rRNA from 1 species